GUUGGGUGUGGUGGCACAUGCCUGUAAUCCCAGCUACUUAGGAGGCUGAGGCAGGAGAAUCGCUUGAACCCAGGAGCUGGAGAUUGCAGUGAGCGGAGAUUGCAGUGAGCCAAGAUUGCACCACUGCACCUCCAGCCUGGGCGACAGAGUGAGACUCUGUCUCAA
ensembl:misc_RNA Metazoa_SRP Metazoan signal recognition particle RNA